CAGCAGUGGGGGAAUAUUGCACAAUGGGGCGCAAGCCUGAUGCAGCCAUGCCGCGUGUGUGAAGAAGGCCUUCGGGUUGUAAAGCACUUUCAGUCGUGAGGAAGGUAGUGUAGUUAAUAGCUGCAUUAUUUGACGUUAGCGACAGAAGAAGCACCGGCUAACUCCGUGCCAGCAGCCGCGGUAAUACGGAGGGUGCGAGCGUUAAUCGGAAUUACUGGGCGUAAAGCGCAUGCAGGUGGUUUGUUAAGUCAGAUGUGAAAGCCCGGGGCGUCAACCUCGGAAUAGCAUUUGAAACUAGGCAGACUAGAGUACUGUAGAGGGGGGUAGGAAUUUCAGGUGUAGCGGUGAAAUGCGUAGAGAUCUGAAGGAAUACCGGUGGCGAAGGCGGCCCCCUGGACAGAUACUGACACUCAGAUGCGAAAGCGUGGGGAGCAAACAGGAUUAGAUACCCUGGUAG
rnacentral:rRNA from 1 species